rnacentral:rRNA from 1 species
CUGAACAGGGCGGCAGUACGAUGAGAUAGACCCGAAGCCGUAGUGAUCUAGCCAUGACCAGGUUGAAGUUUGGGUGAAACCAAAUGGAGGACCGAACCGACCCCCGUUGAAAAGUUGGCGGAUGAGUUGUGGCUAGCGGAGAAAUUCCAAUCGAACACGGCGAUAGCUGGUUCUCCCCGAAAUAGCUUUAGGGCUAGCGUUGAAGGAAGACAUAUGGAGGUAGAGCACUGAAUUGUCGCGGGUGGCACCUAGCCAUACCAACAUAAAUCAAACUCCGAAUGCCAUGUGUUAUUAUUCAGCAGUCAGACUGUGGGUGAUAAGGUCCAUGGUCAAAAGGGAAACAGCCCAGAUCAUCAGAUAAGGUCCCAAAAUCUGCGCCAAGUGGAAAAGGAUGUGGAGACGCGUAAACAGCUAGGAGGUUGGCUCAGAAGCAGCCAUCCUUAAAAGAGUGCGUAACAGCUCACUAGUCGAGUAUCUCUGCGCCGAAAAUUAACCGGGGCUAAGCGCAGUACCGAAUCUAUGGAUUUGUGCAGCAAUGUAUAAGUGGUAGGGGAGCGUUCCAUACAGCGUUGAAGGCAUACCGUAAGGAGUGUUGGAGCGUAUGGAAGUGAGAAUGCCGGUGUGAGUAGCGAGAUGCAGGUGAGAAUCCUGCACACCGAUAGACCAAGGAUUCCAGGGGAAGGUUCGUCCGCCCUGGGUAAGUCGGGACCUAAGGCGAGGCCGAGAGGCGUAGUCGAUGGACAACAGGUUGAUAUUCCUGUACCCGCAGGUCAAAUGAUGGAGUGACGGAAGCGUAAAGUACCAGCCCUUAAUGGAUUGGGCAGGGCAUAAUGAGAGGGCCGACAGUGAAAUGCGUUGGCGGAAAUCGAGUUAUGAACCGAGAGAAAGAGCGAUCAAGUAUCGAAGGGUAUGGAGCGAUUCCCAGGAAAAGCUUCUAGUGUUAAUUGACCAGCGGCCCGUACCAAAACCGACACAGGUGGUCAAGGCGAAUAGCCUGAGGUGAGCGAGAGAACUGUUGCCAAGGAACUCGGCAAAUUGGUCCCGUACGUUAGCUAUAAGGGACGCUCGAAAGAGCCGCAGUGAAAAGGCCCUAGCAACUGUUUAACUAAAACAUAGCUCUCUGCGAAGUCGCAAGACGAAGUAUAGGGGGUGACACCUGCCCGGUGCUGGAAGGUCAAGGGGAUCCGUUAGCCGCAAGGCGAAGCAGUGAACCGAAGCCCCAGUGAACGGCGGCCGUAACUAUAACGGUCCUAAGGUAGCGAAAUUCCUUGUCAGGUAAG